rnacentral:sRNA from 1 species
UUAGAGCUCAGACUAGAUUAUGUUUUCUCUUUAAUUUUGUUGACUGAAAAGACAUUACUUUGUUUAGUCCUUUGAUCCUUUACUGCACAGCUCACUGUACAUUCAAAUCCCCGAUUCUUGACAGGUUCAACUCUGUACCAUGGCCUCAGAAGGCGGGGGCUCUGUUUCAGUGCCGUUCGACUCAACCUCAAUGUCCAACAGAAAAAGUGAGACGACCGAAAAACGCUCCAAGAAAAAUAGGCGCCAAACAAAAUCUGAAAAUGUAACCACAGACUUAGAAGCACUCUCUAACCAAACUGUGGAAGAACGUGCACUCUAUCGUCUCAAAGCAAAGUUACAGCCCUUGGUCAA